rnacentral:lncRNA from 2 species
AUCACUAGGUCUACAGGAUGGGACACAAGCACACGCCGAUGUACAGUGCAGACAGGAGUAAUUUGCUGGAACGAUCCCAAGGACAACAUAAAAUUUGAAGGCGGCAGAUCAAAACAAAUCUGCGUGCAGGUCCUUCGAGAAAUAACAAGACCACUCGAUACAGGCAGUGGCGGCAGGCGAUUGGCAGACGACCCCCAAGGAACAACCCUAGUUACAAAUGAACAAACAGGGUACAAUGGCAAGUUUGCAUUUCCACAACAGAUGACAAAGUGCAGCAUCUGA